GUACACGCUGUGACUAGCAUAUCAAUAAGCGGAGGAAAAGAAACUAACAAGGAUUCCCCUAGUAACGGCGAGUGAAGCGGGAAGAGCUCAAAUUUGAAAUCUUAAAGGGUUUCCCUUUACGAAUUGUAGUUUAAAGAAGUGUUUUCUGUUGAGGUUUUGGUAAAAGUUCUUUGGAAUAGGACAUCAUAGAGGGUGAGAAUCCCGUAUUUGACCUUUACUUUCAACUUUGUGAUACACUUUCAAAGAGUCGGAUUGUUUGGGAAUGCAGUCCAAAAUGGGUGGUAAAUUUCAUCUAAAGCUAAAUAUUGGCGAGGGACCGAUAGCGAACAAGUACCGUGAGGGAAAGAUGAAAAGAACUUUGAAAAGAGAGUUAAACAGUACGUGAAAUUGUCAAAAGGGAAGCGUUUGACACCAGUGUUGUUUUUCUGAAAAUCAAUUAAAGAACUGUUUAUGCUAAGUUGUUUAGACUUUAUCAGCUAACUGUUUAGUUUUGAGCUUUUCUUUAAUGCACUUUUCAGUUAACAAGUCAACAUCAAUUUCUUUUGCUGUAAAAAAGCUUGAGGAAGGUGGCUUGAGAUUCGUCUUAAGUGUUUAUAGCCUCUUGCCUAUGCAGUCGGAGAGAUUGAGGUCUGCAGCGUAGAUCCUUCGGGGCUAAAUGCAUUUGUGCUAAGUUAUAGCAUUUUAUAGACAACUUGUUGACUAUGAUUUGUCUUGUAGCUUACUCGCUUAUGUUAUUUUACCUACGCUUAGGAUGUUGAAGAUGUAGCACAUCAU
rnacentral:rRNA from 1 species